rnacentral:rRNA from 2 species
UUUCCCCUUCGGGGGACAAAGUGACAGGUGGUGCAUGGUUGUCGUCAGCUCGUGUCGUGAGAUGUUGGGUUAAGUCCCGCAACGAGCGCAACCCUUAAGCUUAGUUGCCAUCAUUAAGUUGGGCACUCUAAGUUGACUGCCGGUGACAAACCGGAGGAAGGUGGGGAUGACGUCAAAUCAUCAUGCCCCUUAUGAUUUGGGCUACACACGUGCUACAAUGGACAAUACAAAGGGCAGCGAAACCGUGAGGUCAAGCAAAUCCCAUAAAGUUGUUCUCAGUUCGGAUUGUAGUCUGCAACUCGACUACAUGAAGCUGGAAUCGCUAGUAAUCGUAGAUCAGCAUGCUACGGUGAAUACGUUCCCGGGUCUUGUACACACCGCCCGUCACACCACGAGAGUUUGUAACACCCGAAGCCGGUGGAGUAACCUUUUAGGAGCUAGCCGUCGAAGGUGGGACAAAUGAUUGGGGUGAAGUCGUAACAAGGUAGCCGUAUCGGAAGGUGCGGCUGGAUCACCUCCUUUCUAAGGA